rnacentral:rRNA from 2 species
UACGUAGGGUGCAGGCGUUAAUCGGAAUUACUGGGCGUAAAGCGUGCGCAGGCGGUUUGCUAAGACAGGUGUGAAAUCCCCGAGCUUAACUUGGGAACUGCGCUUGUAACUGGCAAGCUAGAGUGUGGCAGAGGGGGGUGGAAUUCCACGUGUAGCAGUGAAAUGCGUAGAGAUGUGGAGGAACACCGAUGGCGAAGGCAGCCCCCUGGGCUAACACUGACGCUCAUGCACGAAAGCGUGGGGAGCAAACAGG